CGCAGCCCGGCCCCUCUCUGUGCAGAGUCAGAGGAGGAAGGAGGAGCUUCCUGGAGUCGAACGUGAAGAUCAGCACACGGAGCCUCCAGCCUGAGAGUCACGGUUCUGGUCCAGCUGGACUCUUGACGCCGCGCCGCAGGAAGUGAUCUGCCUCAGCUUCCUGGAGUCCGAUGUGAGGAUCAGCGUGAGAACGGACCGACCGGAGACGCCAGAAGAGCGGAAUCGUUGAAUAAAAGAUCGUUAAAGUCUGAUCUGUUUGGAUUGUUGUUUUUGAAAAAGUGGAAAUAAAAUCAGAGAAAAGCUGAAAGUGGAGACUGGAUGUUGUUCAGGUGAAGUCCAGGGAAAUGUUCUGGACUUCUUCAUGAGUUUUUAUUAAAACAGAAGAGAUGGAAAUAAAUUCAAAAGUCAAAUUACAGGAGAGAUUACAAAUUCAGUUUUAUUUGACCAAAAAAAAAAAAAAACAAACUUAAAAACAAUGGAACAAAAGCUUCUCAAGCUAAAGAGAA